GCGGGUAUAGUUUAGUGGUAAAAUUAGCCUUCCAAGCUGAUGAUGCGGGUUCGAUUCCCGCUACCCGCU
rnacentral:tRNA from 1 species